ensembl:lncRNA
CUGUGUGGGGAGGCUAUGAAGAGGUGGUCCCCUGGGCUGACAGCUCCAGGUGGGGCCCAUCCAACAGCCGACAUCAACUUCCAACCAAGUGAGUCCAGCCUCCUCCAGCCUCAGUCAAGCGGCCCCAGAUGAUGGCAUGCAGACCAGAGAAGAGCUGUCCCUGCCAACACCUCCCCAUGUUACAGAAUCUUGAGCAAAUAUGCUGGGAAAGCAGGCUCCCAUAGCAGCCCCGGUGAGAGAUAAGGGCUCUUUGCCUGAAAUGAAAAAUUCAUGAAGGAAGACUAGGGAUCAGGCACUAGGAGAGCCGCCAAGUUGCUGUGCUCUAGGGACGUGGCAAGAAGCUGGAAAAGCCAAAUGGAAAUUUUCUUUCCUCUCCAGCACCUCCCUCAGGCUCCCCUUCCGUGUUCAGCGGGGCUCCUUUCGCCCCUGUAGCCACCCACACCUCCGCAGUCUCAUUUGAGACUCCAGGCCAGCACCGGCAAUGCCCAUGUGCCAGGGCAUUCAGGAAGAGGGAUACUGCUCUGUACCCAGACCGGGCAUCCACCACCAGCCUCAGUAAAAUGUGUACUAUUGCUAGAGCAAGCUGGCACAGUCCUGACCACCUGCCAACCCCAAAACUGGAGAAGCCCCAAACUGGCUAUUAUUUGCCCCUAGAGGUACCCCUGUCUCCAGAUGACUUCCAAUUCCAAUUCCCUGACCCACAAAUCUAACCAAAAUUCAUAAGAUUGAUCAGAUGAUCGUACUUACAACUUGAAGAGGAAACCUUGAAUCUGUUGUCACCACGCUGGGCAGGCAAUGGUUUAUAGAGCUAUUAAAGUGGAGACUUCCUGGUGGUGCACUGGCUAAGACUACUCCCAAUGCACUGGACCCGGGUUUGAUCCCUGGUCAGUGACCUAGAUCCCACAUGCCACAACCAAGAGUUUGCAAGCUACAACUAAAGAUGUGCUGUAACUAAAACCUGGUGAAGCC